rnacentral:rRNA from 1 species
UACGAAGGGGGCUAGCGUUGCUCGGAAUCACUGGGCGUAAAGCGCACGUAGGCGGAUUGUUAAGUCAGGGGUGAAAUCCUGGAGCUCAACUCCAGAACUGCCUUUGAUACUGGCGAUCUUGAGUCCGGAAGAGGUGAGUGGAACUCCGAGUGUAGAGGUGAAAUUCGUAGAUAUUCGGAAGAACACCAGUGGCGAAGGCGGCUCACUGGUCCGGUACUGGACGCUGAUGUGCGAAAGCGUGGGGAGCAAACAGG